CCAGAGAUUCCUUGUUUGUGUAUCCAUUGUAGAUUUUUGGUUUGCAGUUAUUCUGAAGUUUUGAUACAAGUCUAUAUGAGAUUGUUUUCAGUUGUUCUCUUCAUUGUAAAUUCAUCUCCAUUGUCCUUCAUUUGUACCCACCUCUUCUCAUGAUGUCUGAUUUUGGCGGUAUAAUUGUGCAUGGAUGAUUUUGUAUUUUUACUGUAUAUAUACCUUUACUGGUGAGCCUUGUCAUUUGUGGAAUUUUUGUUUCCUGUUGCUGUGUUUUCUUUUCUGCCUAGAGAAGUUCCUUUAGUAUUUGUUGUAAGGCUCCAUUGUCUCUUUUGUAUUAAUUAUGCUUUGAUUUGCUUGCUACUUAGAAGAUGUGCUUUUUAUUCUGUAGAACUUCUGUGCUUGAAAUUGAACUUUAAAAAAAAAUCUGGUCUUCAAAUAUGUUUGAAUUGAAAUAAAACUGUUUAAAAUGAGAAACUGAUUACGUAAAGAAUGCUGAUGUUCAACACUAUAGAUGAUCCUAAAUUUCUGACACUCAGCAAAAUAAAGCUUGGAAGGCUGGGAAUCUUUGAUAGCUUUGAAAGCACUUGCUUCUUCAAGAGCUCUGUUUCCAGAACUUACAGCAGGAAACGGUUGCAUUUUGGGGUCCUACCUUAAAGCAGAAUAAGACUUGGCUACUCAGAGAAGGUAGGAAAACAAAAUGUGGAGGUAUGUGACUUUUCUUAUUAAACACUGACCAUAUCCUCAAUGACAAAUGUAAUUUUUGUAUGAUAAUACUUUAAAGUGACUUUCUUUUUAUUGUAUGUCUUGUUUGUAUGGGUAUGCAUUUGCAAUUUAUGAGAUUAUAUAUAUAUAUUAAAAUUCUAAUUAAUAUUCUGGAUCAUUAAGGUGUGAAAACAAGGGAAAAAUUCACUAAAUAAGUAACAUCUUAAGGGAGGUCCUGGGAUAUCUUGGUAGUUGUCUGCAGAGAGUCUCAGGUUUUAUGAAAUGGUGAAUUGAGUGGACUAGGCUGUGAAAGACCUAAUAGUGUCACUUAUUCCUUUGCCCUCAUAACUAAUGUAAUGCCUUCCUUUACUGCUAUGCCCAUGUGAAUUAAGAAUGAGGCUGAAUUAAUUGGAGAGUUUGUGCUAUAGUAUUCUUGAUUGCAGUAUGAUAUUGUUAUAGAUGUAGAUGCUUGGCACAUGGAAAUUACCCUCUUGUCUGCAGAGUAUAUUUCUAUAAUCUCAGCAGGAUAUAAUAAUUUCAUAAGAAAUUAAAUGAAAGUGGAAAUUAAAUGGACAUUUAAAGUAUCAAGCAGCAGUGAUUCAGAACACAAUCAUACAUUUAUAUUCCAUUUAAAAUUAAGAUGUGUAAUUUAAUCAUCCAUGAUUUAGAAAUAUAUAUUUUAAUAAUUUAUAGUAUUAAAAAGGACAUGGAG